rnacentral:lncRNA from 1 species
GUAUCAGAUUAGCUCCCGAGAGCCAGAAGCUGUUUGCCUUUCAGUGGGAAGAUCCGGAGUCAGGUAUCACUACUCAGUACACUUGGACCCGGCUUCCCCAAGGGUUCCAGAGCUCCCCCACCAUCUUCAGGGAGGCGUUGGCUACAGACCUCCAGAAGCUUCCCACCAGAGACCUAGGCUGCGUGUUGCUCCAGUACGUUGAUGACCUUUUGCUGAGACACCCCACGGCAGUCAGGUGCGCCAAGGGAACGGAUGCCCUACUCCAGCGCCUGGAGGACUGUGGGUAUAAGGUGUCCAAGAAAAAAGCUGAGAUCUGUCGACAGCAGGUACGUUACUUGGGAUUUACUAUCCGACACGGGGAAUGCAGCCUGGGAUCAGAAAGAAAGCAGGUCAUUUGCAAUCUACUGGAGCCUAAGAGCAGAAGGCAAGUGAGAGAAUUCUUAGGAGCUGUGGGGUUUUGUAGACUGUGGAUCCCAAACUUUGCAGUAUUAGCCAAGCCUUUGUAUGAGGUCACAAAGUGGGGGACCGGGAACCUUUUGAAUGGGGAUCUCAACAACAGCAAGCCUUUCAUGAGUUAAAGGAAAAAACUUAUGUCAGCCCCAGCCCUGGGGCUACCCGAUCUGACAAAGCCUUUUACAUUGUAUGUGUCAGAGAGAGAAAAGAUGGCAGUUGGAGUUUUCAUCCAAACUGUGGGGCCCUGGCCGAGGCCAGUGGCCUACCUCUCUAAACAACUAGAUGGGGUUCCUAAAGGAUGGCCCCUGUGUUUGAGGGCCUUGGCAGCAACUGCCCUGCUAGUACAAGAAGCAAAUAAGCUGACUCUUGGGCAAAACCUGAACAUAAAGGCUCCCCAUGCUGUGUUGACUUUAAUGAAUACUAAAGGACAUCAUUGGCUAACGAAUGCUAGACUCACCAAGUACCAAAGUUUGCUCUGUGAAAAUCUCCGUAUAACCAUUGAAGUUUGGAACACCCUAAACCCCACCACCUUGCUCCCAGUAUCAGAGAGCCCUGUCGGGCAUGAUUGUGUAGAAGUGUUUGACUCAGUUGACUCUAGUAGAUCUGACCUCCGGGACCAGCCUUGGGCAUCAGUAGACUGGGAACUACACGUGGACGGGAGCAGCUUCAUCAACCUACAAGGAGAGAGAUGUGCAGGGUAUGCAGUGGUAACCCUGUACACUGUUGUUGAAGCCAGAUCGUUGCCCCAGGGCACUUCAGCCCAGAAAGCUGAACCCAUUGCUUUAAUUUGGGCCUUAGAACUCCAUGAAGGUAAGACUGUAAACAUUGACACUGAUUCUCGGUAUGCCUUUUUAACCCUUCAAGUGCAUGGAGCAUUAUAGAAAGAAAACGGCCUAUGGAACUCUGGGGGAAAAGACAUAAAAUAUCAACAAGAAAUCUUGCAAUUAUUAGAAGCAGUAUGGAAACCCCACAAGGUGGCAGGUAUGCAUUGCAGAGGACAUCAGCGAGCUUCCACCUUGCUGGGUUUGGGGAAUUCCCGCGCUGACUCAGAGGCUCGAAAAGCAGCAUCUGCCCCCUUCCGGCAAUCAGUCACAGCCACUCUGCUCCCUCAAGCACCUGAUCUUGUACCUACUUAUUCUAAAGAAGAAAAGGACUUUCUCCAGGUAGAGGGAAGGACAAGUGAUGGAGGAAGGAUGGAUUCGGUUACCAGAUGGGAGAGUAGCUGUGCCACAGCUGCUAGGAGCUGCAGUUGUACUGGCUGUGCAUGAAACCACCCAUCUAGGUCAGAGUCACUGGAAAAGUUGUUAGGCUGGUAUUUCUACAUCUCGCAUUUGUCAGCCCUUGCCAAAACGGUGACACAGCGGUGUGUUACCUGCUGACAGCACAAUGCGAGGCAAGGUCCAGCCGUUCCGCCCGGCAUAAAAGCUUAUGGAGCAGCCCCCUUUGAAGAUCUCCAGGUAGACUUCACAGAGAUGCCAAAGUGUGGAGGUCAGAAGUAUUUACUAGUUCUUGGGUGUACCUGCUCUGGGUGGGUGGAGGCUUAUCCAACACGAACUAAGAAAGCUCGUGAAGUAACCCGUGUGUUUCUUCGAGAUCUGAUUCCUAGAUUUGGACUGCCCUUACGGAUCAGCUCAGAUAACGGGCCUGCGUUUGUGGCUGACUUGGUACAGAAGACGGCGAAGGUAUCGGGCAUCACAUGGAAACGGCAUGCCGCGUACCAGCCUCAGAGUUCCGGAAAGGCUGUAGAUAAAGGGGUUGAGCAUGGAGGUGACCACCGUGUACAUCACUGCAGCCACUGCACCCUUUCUGGGGGAAGAUGACACAUCUGAACUGAGGUACCCUCCAACACCUCUUCCAUAAAAUCAGCAAACAACUGACAGAGAUCAUGCAGCGGGAGCCCACGAUCGGUUUAAUCAUCACUCACUUCCAUUGGAUCAACUACAAAUCAACUCAGAUGAGAGUGCUGAGUCUCAGAGGAUGGACAUCUCACCCCUUGCCAUACAGAUAAGUAGAAAGGAUGGUAUUCAAAAUUAAUGGCCAGACUCUAAGUCCCAGAUACUAUACUUCAUGGUCUUCCAACUCUCAAAAAGUUGUGGGAGUUUUUUUUUGUUUUUGUUUUUGUUUUUUUGAGACGGAGUCUCAUUCUGUUGCCCAGGCUGGAAGUGCAGUGGAGUGAUCUCAGCUCAUUGCAACCUCCGCAUCCCAGGUUCAAGCUAUUCUCCUGCCUCAGCCUGCUGAGCAGCUGAGAUUACAGGCGCCCGCCACUAUGCCCGACUAAUUUUUUUCUAUUUUUAGUAGAGACGGGGUUUCACCAUGUUGGCCAGGCUGGUCUCGAACACCUGAACUUGUGAUUCGCCUGCCUCAGCCUCCCAAAGUGCUGGGAUUACAGGCGUGAGCCACCGCGCCCAGCUUCAAAAAGUUUAAAGCAGAGCUCAGAGGUCUUAACCACAGGUACAUCUGAGGAGCAUUUUUGAAACAGUUUCCAGCUUCCUCAACAGGAAGAGAAGCCAAAUUCCGAAUUUAUGACUCCUUUGAGGAAGUCGAGAGCUGUAAGGAAAGCCAGGAACAGGGGCAAGGGAGAGAUGCAUCCCGAAUGAUCCUGUGCCAAUUCUUUCUGGAAUCUUUGAUGUGAUCUCAGCUGCCCUUUCUAUACUUGACACAGUGAUUGUGGCACCCACUGGUCUAGCUGUGGUCUACAAGGAACCCCCAAAAGGAAGGGCACAGUGAGCAGGGGCAUCGGCCUGAGUGACAAGGAUUUGAGAGGGCAGGUUGGAUGCAGGGAGAGGACUGGCCAAAUGCCAUGUGUCUGGACUUAGGCUGCCUGGUUCAAACUGGACUUCACCCUUUUUGACUUCAUGAUCUGGUACAAGUUAUAUGAAAAUGCAUUGCUCCUUUUCUAGUCUGUAAAAUAAUAAUGAAAUGUGCACUAAUAACUGGGAGACUACGCAGAGGAAAUGAAACAAGCUGCAUAGACCACAGAGCUCAGAGCCUGGCCUUUAGGAAGCCCUCAGUAAGGGUUCAUGAUGCCAUGGUGUCUGUCAUCAUCCUCUUUAUCCUCAUCAUCACCUUCAUAAUCUUUUUAUUGUUCUUAGAGAAUAGUUUAGAGGGACUCAUUCCCUGCUAUCAUGGGUGAGAUGUCUAUGAAAAGGACAACCAGUGGGGGAGGAAAGCAAAAUUUUGAAUAAGAUUUCUGAGACCGCCCCCCCCCGACCAUAACCAAGAACAGAAACUCCACAGUCUGCUGAGCCGACAGUUUGCACGUUGGUCUCCUCCCAUCUGCCCACCGCACUCUCCUGUUUUUUUCCUGAGGAUGAGGAUACAAAACAAGGCUCCCAACCGUCCCUCAGCACUCACUGAACUGCCCUUCCCCUCUGCUGGGCCAUGACCACGGAGAACAAGUCCACUGUCCUCCCUGCGUGGUGCACGAUGGAGGCUCAGACUCCAUCCUCAAGGCUGGCAAGAAGACAGGGUGAGACAUGAGCCUCCUGAUACAGGUGAUGGGUGUGGAGCCCACAGGACUGGAACCUCACACUGCAGGGCUGGAGGCACAGACUAUUUACUAUUCUAUGGCCUGGGGGGCUCAAGGCACAGAGCUCCUCAUUAGCCAAAGUCGCCCAAGUUCCCCAACCUUUAAGGAUUUCCUCAUAAUAAUGCAAGAAGAAGAAGAGAAAAGUGAGUGUCCAUAGAAGCUUUGGGGCUCUUCCUCUAAUCAGGAGAAAGCUGCAGAAGUUCAUCAGCUAACUUCUUGGGACCUAGCACCAUGUGAAGACGCUCAAGCUAGACUUUAAAAUGAGAGACCCAGAGGAGAGACAGAAGCUCCACUAAAUCCAAAGAACACCUAGACUGAUCAACAACAGAGGAAGCAAGGACAGCAAAGGGCGCUGCAGAGGCCAAGAGGUACAAGAGCAUGCCGUUCAAAUUUUCAACCAAUUACGUGGCCGUGUCACUCUCCACUCCGCCUGCACGCUGGGAGAAAACGCAAAUCCAUGAAGGUGGUAUUUAAAGAAUUGACAGCCUUGAAAACAUUUUGGAAUUAUUUGAUUUCCUCACAAAACUUCAUUAUUGCUAAAUCCAAAAGAUGAGCCUGACAAUAUCUGUAAGUCUACCAACUGCCCUCCUUAAACUUUGUUGUUAACACUUCCCUAAAUCUUCUGUUCACGCCAGCAGCAUAUCAUAUGACCAACUCCAAUGUGCCUCCGUUAGAUUCUGGGACAUUUCUGGGAGUUCAUACAUUUUUGUUUGAGAAAGUUAAGGAGCUAUCAUACAUCUACAGUUCCGCCCUCCUCCCCACUCUAUGAUCAAAGGAAAAAUUUAAGGGGCAGUUCCACUUGUUCAAUAACGUUCAAUAACAUAUUUCUCCAUGGUCCUCCAUGUGCAGUGCAAAACAGCAGAAAUCCCCAUCCUAACAGAGCUGGCAUUUGAGCAGAUGGCUCGGGCAGGGAAGUUCCCAGCGAAUAUAGUGGCUCUUAUCAUGCAAACCGGUCCAAGAAGCAGACACAUCCACCUUGAGCCAGAUUUAUUUGCAAGGAAUGGGUUCAAAGUCAUGAAAAGAGGAGAGUUCACAUAGACUCAAUUUCAACAAAAAGUAGCUCUCAUAGGGGUGAAUGGGUUUAGGUUGCUCAAGAAGAGAGAGAUUCCAAAGAUGGAGCUUGAGUUGAAGCCCCCAGGAGCUCCCCCUGCAGAAAGAGCAGAGGCUCAGGCUGAGGACAGCUCCCUGAAUGGCCACCUGAAACCUGAAACCCGUGAUGGGAACGCAGAGGGGACCAUGGAGCAAAAACGCCAGGGAACUCUAUAUGGUGGAAAGGAGAUAGCCAGAUGUGGUGGCACACCCCUGUAGUCCCAGCUACUGGGGAGGCUGAGAUAGGAGGAUCACUUGAGCCCAGGAGUUUGAGACUAGAAUGAGCCAUGAUUGUGCCACUGCACUCCAGCCUGGUGAAAGAGUGAUACCCUGUUUUCAUAAGAAAAAAAUAACAAAAACAAAAACAAGAAAGGAGAGAGUUGGCUAAGCUUUAUCACCUUUGUGGGUUUGGAACCCUUACUUGAUCCUUCACUAAAGUACUUCUUGGGCAUCCAGUGAGGUUCAGUGUGUAUUGAGAGGAUGGUGAGGAUGGCAGCCAGGCGUGGGAUCUGUAUUCAAGAAGAAGCUGCCCCACUCGCUGGCCAUCUAUGGAUUUCCAGCCAACAAGCAUUUCCAACCACCUAUGGAUUUCCAACAACUGAGAACUCAUGAGACUGGCUGCCCAGUCUUUCCUCUCUGCCAGAGCAUGAAGAGGCCUCCAUCAUUUCAGGUUGAUGCUCUGGUUCGAGCAGAGCACACUCUUCAGUGGCUUCCUGAGAAAAUGUGCAAGACAAGUCCAUUUUCUGGCUCUCCAUAGAAGACCCACUUCACCUGCAGCCUCUCUGUGUUCUCAUCGGUACUCCCUGCUCACUCACCGCAGCCGCAGCUCCCUGGGCCUCCCCAUGGUUCCCCGACCACAGCAGGUGCGCUCCUUCCUCUGGGUCUCAGCACUUGUUCCGUGGCCUGGAGUGCUUCCCCCCCGCCCCCUCCCCACUCUCUCUAUUGCCCAUUCUCAUUCAGGUCUUUGCUCUAAUAACACUUUCUUGGCCGGGCACAGUGGCUCACACCUGUAAUCCCAACACUUUGGGAGGCUGAGGCAGAUGGGUCACUUGAGUUCAGGAGUUCGAGACCAGCCUGACUCAGCCUGCCCAACAUGGUGAAACUCCGUCUCUACCAAAAAUAUAAAAAAUUAGCCAGGUGUGGUGGUUGCGUGCCUGUAAUCCCAGCUACUCAGGAGGCUGAGGCAGGAGAAUCGCUUGAACCCGGGAGGUGGAGGUUGUAGUGAGCCAAGAUCACACCAUCACACUUCAGCCUUGGCAACAGAGCAAUUCUCUGUCUCAAAAAUAAACAAACAAACAAACAAACAAACAACACCUUCUUGGCAACACUUCCUGAUGAUUCCAUUUAAAAUUCCAGCCUUUCCCCUGCUCUCUCCAUGCACCCUCCCUGCUUUGCUUUGCUCCAUAGGUUGAACUGUGUCCCCCCCAAAAAAGACGUGCUAAAGUUCUAACCCUGAGUACUUCAGGAUGUGACCUUAUUUGGAAGUAGGAUCAUUGCAGAUGUAAUUAGUUAAAUUAAGACGAGGUCAUACUGAACUGGGGUGGGCCCCCAAAUCCAAAAGGACUGGUGUCUUCAUAAGAAAUUUGGAGACAGAGACGCGGGAAGAACACCAUGUGAUGGGACAGAGCUGGGCUGUGCAGCUGCAAGCCAAGGGACACCAGAUAUUGCCGGCCACCACCACCGGUCACCACCGGAAGCGAGGCGGAGGCAAGGACGGAUUCUCCUGCAGGUUUUUGUUUUGUUUUGUUUUGUUUUGUUUUGUUUUGUUUUUUUGAAGGCGGGGGUCUUGCUCUGUUGCCCGGGUUGGAGUGCAUGGCACAAUCAUGGCUCACUGCAGCCUCAACCUUCCAGGCUCAAGUAAGUCUCUUGUCUCAGCCUCCAGAGUAGCUGGCAUGCACCACCAUGCCCGGCUAAUUUUUUAAUGUUUUUGUAGAGAUGGGGAAGGGGGUCUCACUGUGUUGCCCAGGCUGGUCUUCAAUUCCUGCACUCAAGUGAUCCUCCUACCUCAACCUUCCAAAGUGCUGGGAUUAUGGGUGUGAGCCGCCCCACCCGACCCCCCUACAGGUUUCAGAGGGAGCAUGGCCCUGCCAGCACCUGGGUUUCCUACUUCUGGCCUCCAGAACUAUCAGAGAAUAAAUGUCUGCUGUUUCAAGCCACCCAGCUUGUGGUAUUUGUUAUGGCAGCCCCAGGAGCUAAUACACCAUCUGACAGGCUCUAUUUUUAAAUUG